rnacentral:lncRNA from 1 species
AGCAUUUAUUUUCCCAUCUAGACAAUGUGCAACUGCUGUUAAAAUCAUUAACAAUUCUCGUUCUUGAUGUUCGUAAGGUUACGAUGAGUGAAUUUCCUGUUAGUUCAAGUCUUGUUUUCGUAUUCUUGAUUUUGCCUAAAGCGAAGUCAUGAUAUACAUGAUAUAGCAACUACGAUCGGCGUUAUUUAUUGCCUUGCCUUUUCCAAACAUGACCGUGUCUCGGACGUUUUGCAUGUGAUCACACUGACACACUGUCGGCGAAUUCCCGAUAAAGGUCGACAUGCUUCGUUGCCUUUCUCAACGGUAUUAAAAUCGUCUUUGUCUAAUAACAACACGUCGCGUGCUUUGUUAUAAACACGUGUAGAACUUUUAUAUUUUCGAUCAUGCGAACUUCUGUUGUGUACUUUACAUGAAUAUCAUGUACUUUACAUAAAUUGCUGUAAAAAAUCGUGAUCAACAAAGAAUUUAACACUUAUGGAUUCCUCUCACGUUUGCUAAAUGUAGAAUUUUAGUAAACAUGUGCUCAGAGACCCGUGGCGUGAUGUACAGUAUAUACAAUCCAAUCCUACCUUGGUUGCUGCCGUUGCUCUGGUUCGCGACAAUCAGCAGGCUUAACAAUGCGGACUUCAAGCUUUUCGUCUUUAAUAUCCACUGAUGAUGCUACUGGCGAGUAACUUGUCUGUUUUGACAUUUUUAAAACAGCUCAAUACACUAAAUUGAGUCACUACUUUGCGCUCAGAUUUCCCCUUACUUUUAACAGAAAACGCAGGAAUAUAUAUUUAUUGUUCGACUCUAUGGACUAAAAGUAAAAAGUGGGAAUCUUUUAGCAAGUGCAAACCUCGUGGAAAAUGACGUAAUUUCUUUUCAUAUUGGACCUGCAUUUUUCUACUCCACCUGACAACUGCAGGACGCUAAGAGGUUUACAAAAAUUGGAUUCACUGCAGGUAAAACAGAAAUUGGAUCAAAUUGAUCGCCAUCUGGUAUCAGUUCUCCCAGAAAAUGUAUGACGAAAAAUGGCGGGAUUGAUGAUCACGGGGUGGACUUCUACGGAAAUUUUUGGUUCAUAUAUGAGAAUCUUUAAUCGUAAAGUUUCGAAUGUUUUUUUACGUGCAGGUAAAGAAAAGUUUCGUGAUCCGUGGUGAACAGUUUUGUCGGGAUUGAAUAGAAAAUUCCUGUUUCUAUCUUGCGAUGACGUCUUGCUCAGCUAUAUAUGAGGGUCUCCCAGGAGGGAUAUGUGUUCCUAUUCCCACUCUUUUCCACGUUUUCUUUCAUCCCGCGACUUUCUUCAAAAUCCAAAAUCCCGUAUUAAUUUUUCUUCCUUUUAUCCCGUUUCUCGAGUAUCAAAAUAAACGUCAGUAUCGCGUGGUGUAGGUGACCUUAAUUUUUGCAAUUCGUGGUGACCUUGCACUUGGUAAGUAUAAAAGCAGCAAAAAAACAAC